UCACUCACUCACACACCUCCCCCAGCUCACCUCCUCCCCACUCCAGCAUGGCCGCCUCCACCAUGUCCAUCUGCUCCAGCGCCUGCACCAACUCCUGGCAGGUGGACGACUGCCCAGAGAGCUGCUGGCCAGCCGGGCUCAGGCCCCACCUCCCUGCCAGUCCUUGGACCUCCCAGCCCACCCAGCCUCAGCACAGCUCAGCACAGAAGGAGCAGCCCCAGCCACAGCCGCCCAGCCCCGGGGUCUCAGAUGCUCACUGGCUCCUCUCUGACCUCCCGCCGGGCGGGCGAGCCCUGGCUUCUCCUCACGGUGCUUCCUGGCUGCAGACCACAACCCUCCGCUGGUCGCUGGUCGCUGGUUGGGGAU
rnacentral:lncRNA from 1 species